AACGAACGCUGGCGGCGUGCUUAACACAUGCAAGUCGAACGGGAAGGCCCUGCUUUUGUGGGGUGCUCGAGUGGCGAACGGGUGAGUAACCCGUGAGUAACCUGCCCUUGACUUUGGGAUAACUUCAGGACACUGGGGCUAAUACCGGAUAGGAGCUCCUGCUGCAUGGUGGGGGUGGGAAAGUUUCGGCGGUUGGGGAUGGACUCGCGGCUUAUCAGCUUGUUGGUGGGGUAGUGGCUUACCAAGGCUUUGCCGGGUAGCCGGCCUGAGAGGGUGACCGGCCACACUGGGACUGAGAUACGGCCCAGACUCCAACGGGAGGCAGCAGUGGGGAAUAUUGCACAAUGGGCGGAAGCCUGAUGCAGCAACGCCGCGUGCGGGAUGACGGCCUGCGGGUUGUAAACUGCUUUCGCCUGUGACGAAGCGUGAGUGACGGUAACGGGUAAAGAAGCACCGGCUAACUACGUG
rnacentral:rRNA from 1 species